AGGACGAACGCUGGCGGCGUGCUUAACACAUGCAAGUGGAGCGACGAACCAGGGCUUGCCCUGGGGCAGAGCCGCGAACGGGUGAGUAACACGUGGGUUACCUGCCUCGAUGACCGGGACAACCCGAGGAAAACUCGGGCUAAUACCGGAUGUGCCCGCAAGGGGAAAGGAAGCUUCGGCCUCCGCAUCGAGAUGGGCCCGCGGCCCAUUAGCUUGUUGGUGAGGUAACGGCUCACCAAGGCUUCGAUGGGUAGCUGGUCUGAGAGGACGAUCAGCCACACUGGGACUGAGACACGGCCCAGACUCCUACGGGAGGCAGCAGUGGGGAAUCUUGCGCAAUGCGCGAAAGCGUGACGCAGCAACGCCGCGUGGGGGAAGAAGGCUUUCGGGUUGUAAACCCCUUUCAGUUGGGACGAAGCUUCGUCGGUGAAUAGCCGGCCGGAGUGACGGUACCUUCACAAGAAGCACCGGCUAACUACGUGCCAGCAGCCGCGGU
rnacentral:rRNA from 1 species